UCUACGGGAGGCAGCAGUGAGGAAUAUUGGUCAAUGGGCGAGAGCCUGAACCAGCCAAGUCGCGUGAAGGAUGACUGUCUUAUGGAUUGUAAACUUCUUUUAUACGGGAAUAACAAGAGUCACGUGUGACUCCCUGCAUGUACCGUAUGAAUAAGCAUCGGCUAACUCCGUGCCAGCAGCCGCGGUAAUACGGAGGAUGCGAGCGUUAUCCGGAUUUAUUGGGUUUAAAGGGUGCGUAGGCGGCCUGUUAAGUCAGCGGUGAAAUCUAGGAGCUUAACUCCUAAAUUGCCAUUGAUACUGGCGGGCUUGAGUGUAGAUGAGGUAGGCGGAAUGCGUGGUGUAGCGGUGGAAUGCAUAGAUAUCACGCAGAACUCCGAUUGCGAAGGCAGCUUACUAAGGUACAACUGACGCUGAAGCACGAAAGCGUGGGUAUCAAACAGGAUUAGAUACCCUGGUAGUCCACGCAGUAAACGAUGAUAACUGGGCGUAUGCGAUAUACAGUAUGCUCCUAAGCGAAAGCGUUAAGUUAUCCACCUGGGGAGUACGCCGGCAACGGUGAAACUCAAAGGAAUUGACGGGGGCCCGCACAAGCGGAGGAACAUGUGGUUUAAUUCGAUGAUACGCGAGGAACCUUACCCGGGAUUGAAAUGUAGAUGACCGCUCCUGAAAGGGAGUUUUCCUUCGGGACAUCUAUGUAGGUGCUGCAUGGUUGUCGUCAGCUCGUGCCGUGAGGUGUCGGCUUAAGUGCCAUAACGAGCGCAACCCCUGUCUACGGUUGCCAUCAGGURAUGCUGGGAACUCCGUAGAGACUGCCGUCGCGUCG
rnacentral:rRNA from 1 species